UUUUGCCCAGUUUAGAGUGCAGUGUUGCGAUCAUAGCUUACUGCAGCUUCAAACUCCUGGGCUCAACUGAUGCUCCCACCUCAGCUUCCUGAGUAGCUUUGACUCCAGGUACACAGCACCAUGUCCAGCUAUUUUUUUUUUUUUUGAGACAGGGUCUCACUAUGUUGCCCAGGCUGCUUUCCAGCUCCUGGCCUCAAGUGAUCCUCCCACCUUUUCAAACUUCCUCUAAUAUUACUUCACUCUGAAGCCUAGGAUAUGCUGUGUUUACACAGCCUCUAUCUGUUUCCUUUUCUCUGAGACUCCUUCCCCCAUUAAAGCAGACA
rnacentral:lncRNA from 1 species